rnacentral:ncRNA from 2 species
ACGAAAGAAUUAUAAUUAUAUAUGUAUAAGCCCAUAAUAUGGUUGGGCGUAUCUACCAGCUACCGAUAAUAGUUGACUACGACAUGGAUUGCCGUGGUC